ACAUCCACCACCUUUGCCAUUUCCAUGGCUUAGAAGCAAGUCACGGGUCCUAACUCACACUCAAGAGGAGGGAGCCACACAAAGCAAUGACCAUCAGGGGAAGAGAUUAGGGGUGCCACCUUAGAGUUUGCCACACGGUCUUCCUAAGAAAACCAAGAUCUAGAAUUUCUAGUAGAAUUUUCUUUUGUUCGUCUAAGAAUCAAUUGAUUCUUAAUUCUAAGCUUGAAGUGUAACUGCAUUUUUAUGGGAUAUGAUUUGUCUUCUAAUAAUACUGACAAAAACAACUGGAUUUAAAGAUGAAAGUGUCUGCCAUGAGGAGUACGGGGACAGCAGGAAUGAAAAGGAAUAUUUAAGAAUGCAAAAACCAGUCAGACAGCACAGCUCUGAGCCUGGCAGUGCCCCUGCAGGGGCACUGGUUCACAUGCUGAUUGUGAGCAAGGAAAAUCUCAUUUAAACCAAGUGGGAAAUUAUAGUUACCAAGUUGACGAUUA
rnacentral:lncRNA from 10 species